ensembl:ncRNA ZK809.13 ncRNA
AUCAGUUAUCACUGAUACACUUUUCAGUGACACUGUGUACAUGUAGGAAAAGCUAUCCGGUGUCAAGCGGUCUUCCUGCUCUCGGAGCAAAAGAGCCAUAUGACUUGAACGUGUGCUCGCACAAAUCUCCUGCAC